rnacentral:lncRNA from 1 species
AUGCCAAGGGUAGAAGACAGACUAACCUCCUCUUUGAACAUAAAUAAAAAUUGAGAAAGCCAUUUAAAGGAUGUAAGGACGGCUUAGCCCAACCUGCUAGUGGCCAUCCCCACUUCCUGCCUCCUCCCUGAGUACUGGCUCUGCAGUCCUCCUACUGCUACUUGGCUUUUGGCUGGGGCAGAUGCUGCCGGAACUUUCCCUUGGCAGGUGGGAGGCUGGGGAGAUGAGAAGGUGGACCCCAUGCCAGGCUCAAGAGAAAUCUGGCCACACUGACAAGGCCACCCACCCACAUAGGAGUCCUGAAAAAGAUGAGAGGGAUGGCAGGGCAGGCACUGUUCCUGAGCACCAUUUACUGUGUGCUGAAGGUGAAAAUGCCACCUCUUCUCCUCCUCGCCACAAAGUCCAUGAGGUCGGCCUUAUGAUCCUCACAGUGUAGAGGGGCUAGCUAGGAGCAUGCUCAAGGUCCCAGCCUAGCAAGCGCGAAGCCUCACAUCUAGGUAUGUCUGGGAUCAGGCCCACGCUCUUUCCACCACACUGUGUUGCGUCUCUGUCAUCUGGGAAGUUAUGAAUGGUCUCAUGCUUUCUGAGUUAGAGCUACAGCAAAAGUAGUAAUGUGCACAAAACCAGUCCCCACCUGAGUUCCUUCUCCAGCCUCAGGAUUCUUUGAAGGGAAGAAGCAGUUCCUAGAACUCCUUGAAAUUACACUCAAAAUAGUGUGUGCAUGAUAUGGAUUUUUUUGACAAGAGCGUCGAUGCUUUCCAUUGGGUUCUUAAAAAGGAUCUAUGACUUUAAAAUGGUUAAUAACGAGUGCGUUGGGCAUUAUUUUGUCUGACUAUCUCUCUUGACAGAUAAGGAAAUGGAGUUCUUUGAACUCUAUUUUCUACUUUGAGUUACAGUGUUUAUUCUGCAGGAACAGCAGCACAGCCUGCGCAGUAUCUGCUCCUUCCUUAGUGCUGCGGAAACUUCCUAGUGAGGCCAAACAGCAGGGCCACUGCAACACUAGAUGAGCGCUGGUUCCCAGGCUGUUACUUGGAAGCCACUGAUAAAGAAGUCAUAUGACAGGAGUUCCAUGUCUUUCAUUUUUUGGCAAGGUUUCUAGAAACUUUGGUCCUUCCUAAGAAUAAAUACAAUCUGCACUGUUUUUACUCUUAUCAUCUGGAAGUCACUGCCAAAGCCAGGCCUUGGACUGAGCCCACAACCACACAAGCCUGGCUGAUUGAGCUUGAAUCUGCCGGAUCUAGAAUUCCACUUGAGUGCACAGAUGUCCUGGGAGUUUUUCUGCAUUUCCAUUAGUUUAAGAUGAAGGAUCUAUGAUGGAGGAUGAGGAUUGUGAGGGGUGUCCUCACCCACUUGUCCUGUUUAUU